AGGAAUUCAUUUUUAUGCAGAACAAUUUGUGUGGGCAUUUUACAGAAGAGAAAAUCCAAAUGGCCAAGGAAUAAAAUGAAGCCACUCAACUUCACUGGUUGUCUUCAAAAUGCGAAUUGAACACAUAAUAAGCUGGUAUUUCUUAUCCAUCAAAUUGACAAAAGGAUGAUAACACCUAGUAUCUAUGAAGAUAUGUUAGAGUGUUUUUUUGUUCAAAACUUAGAGAAUAACGCAUAUGUAUUGUUAAACUUCUUGGGAAGAAAAACACUCAUCAGCUCUGAGCACACUCCGUGAAUUCACAUAGCUCUGAUUGGAAAGUUGGUGUAGCUACUAAUUAGCUGUAUGACUGUGUGGAUAUCACUGGCCUUUUAAAAAGAACCUAUUUCAUCAUCUCUCAAAAGGGAAACAACUGCUUCUUGGAGUCUUUGUGAGAAUUCUGGGCUAGUGGAAGCACAGCACUUAAUACCAUGACUGCUGUGUUAUGAACAUGCAGCAAAUGCUCCUCAUUGUCAUCAGUAAUGUGCCGGUUACACAGUGGGCACUAAAAGAGUGCUAGUUUCCUUAUGUUUCAGCCCACAGAAGACUUUUCAUAUAAUCCUUAUUCAUUUCUUAGUAAAUUACUGAUAGUUCUCAGAUAUUUGUAAAAAUGCAUCAUUCUAAGUGCUGGAGAUACAGCAGUAAAUAAAAUUGACAAAC
rnacentral:lncRNA from 1 species